rnacentral:lncRNA from 1 species
UCCAAUAUCGCCGAUGCUAUACAUUUUACAAGCAGAGCCGAUGGCAGCCACAAUUAGGGCUAAUCCGAAAAUUCAAGGAAUAAAUUUACCCCACCCUGACAUAGAAAAUGAAAAGAAAGAGGUUAAGAUUAACAUGUUUGCAGACGAUACACAAUUUUUUAAUAGAACAGAGGAAUCAAUCGAGGAAACAUUCAAGGUUUUAGAAAUAUACGAGAAAGCAUCGGGUGCUAAGAUAAAUUAUGAAAAGACUGUAGGGGUAUAUUUGGGUCGUUGGAAAAAUAAAACACCAAAAUAUAAAAAAAUUAGGUGGUCAAGCGAACCAAUUAAAGCAUUGGGAGUCAUGCAUGGAUACAGUGUUGAUAUAGAAGCUAUAUGGUUAGAAAAAAUAAAGAAGAUUAAGGCGUGUCUUGAGGUUUGGAAAUCUCGUGACCUAACAUUGAAGGGCAGGGUCUUAAUAUUAAAAUCAUUGAUUAUAUCUAAAAUAGGGUUCGAAAUCGAAAUGCGAGGUAUACCUGAAAAAUAUAAAAAAGAAAUAAACAAUGUCAUGUGGAAUUUUAUAUGGGAGGGAAAAGUAAAUUUAAUUAAAAGGGACGUGUGUUGCUUACCGGUAGAGGAAGGGGGGAUUGGUAUGAUCAAUAUAGACUCGUUCAUUAAAUCCAAACAAAUCAAAAGUAUGCAAAAGAUUUUAAGAUCAAAAACCGAUAACUGGAAUACAAUAGCCAAAUGGUGGCUACAGAAGUUUGAUAUCAAAUAUAAUUGUGAUAAUUUUUUAGCAAAGUGUUCGGACUUACGAGGAUUACAAAUGGAAAAUUUUCCAAAAUACUAUCUUGAGU